rnacentral:rRNA from 1 species
UACGUAGGGUGCAAGCGUUAAUCGGAAUUACUGGGCGUAAAGCGUGCGCAGGCGGUCGUUCAAGUCGCGUGUGAAAGCCCCCGGCUCAACUGGGGAGGGUCACGCGAUACUGAUCGACUGGAAGGCAGGAGAGGGUAGUGGAAUUCCCGGUGUAGUGGUGAAAUGCGUAGAUAUCGGGAGGAACACCAGUGGCGAAGGCGACUACCUGGCCUGUUCUUGACGCUGAGGCGCGAAAGCUAGGGGAGCAAACGGG